GGGGAUGCAAGGCAUAGACAGUUGGUCUAUUUGCAUUGAUGCAUACCGAGCAUGAACAUAACCUCGUAAAAAUUUGUUCAAAUGUUAAUUGCAAAAUUAGCUACUAAAGUGAAAAACGCUGUUUCUCCAUACUUCGGUAUGAAUGACUUCGCUUUCGCUUCGGUUUCCGCUUACGCGUAACCGAUGUCUCUCUUAUAGACUUCCGAUAUAUGAGAUGGGGCAUAAUAUUAUCGGGAUAGGAGAAAGACUUUCCUGACUUUUUUCCAAAACAAAAGGAAUCGAUUAAAAAAUAUUUGGCUCGUUUCUUAAUUUUUUAAUUUAAACAAAAAGCGCGCUACGUAUGUAGACUUCACUGCAAACUCCCUCUGCACUGGGAUUCAAUUUCCCACAUCUCCACUC
rnacentral:tmRNA from 7 species